UUUAUCUCAAUGGGCGAAAGCCUGAAGGAGCGACGCCGCGUGGGGGAUGAAUGGCUUCGGCCCGUAAACCCCUGUCAUUUGCGAUCAAACCUUACGACCUAACACGUCGUAAGCUGAUAGUAGCGGAAGAGGAAGGGACGGCUAACUCUGUGCCAGCAGCCGCGGUACAACGUAGGACACAAGCGUUAUCCGGAGUUACUGGGCGUAAAGGGCGUGUAGGCGGGUGUGUAAGUCUACUCUGAAAGCUCCUGGCUAAACUGGGAGAGGCGAGUGGAGACUGCAUGUCUAGAGUGAGGAAGAGGAAAGUGGAAUUCCGCGUGUAGUGGUGAAAUGCGUAGAGAUGCGGAGGAACACCAGUGGCGAAAGCGACUUUCUGGUCCUUAACUGACGCUGAGGCGCGAAAGCAUGGGGAGCGAAC
rnacentral:rRNA from 1 species